rnacentral:rRNA from 1 species
AACAAACGCUGGCGGCGUGCCUAAUACAUGCAAGUCGAACGGGGUAGCAAUACCUAGUGGCGCACGGGUGAGUAACGCGUGGAUAAUCUGCCUUAGAGUGGGGGAUAACUAGUCGAAAGAUUAGCUAAUACCGCAUAAGACCACAAGAACUGCGGUUCAAGGGGUCAAAGGUUUUUCGCUCUAAGAAGAGUCCGCGUAAGAUUAGCUAGUUGGUGAGGUAAUGGCUCACCAAGGCGACGAUCUUUAACUGGUCUGAGAGGAUGAUCAGUCACACUGGAACUGAGACACGGUCCAGACUCCUACGGGAGGAAGCAGUAGGGAAUAUUGCACAAUGGAGGAAACUCUGAUGCAGCGACGCCGCGUGAGUGAUGAAGGCCUUCGGGUCGUAAAGCUCUGUCGCAGGGGAAUAACACAAUGAAUGUACCCUGUAAGAAAGGAUCGGCUAACUUCGUGCCAGCCGCCGCCGUAAUAC